rnacentral:lncRNA from 1 species
AGACCGCGUCCGUUGUGAGGCCUCCCCCGCUGCCCCUCAGGCCCAGCACUCACGGGACUUCCCUGGCUGCCUUGUUAAACGCAGAUGCUGAUGGCCCACAUCUGGGAAGGGCCUGGAGUUCUGCAUUCCUAAUAAGUUUCUGGGGAUACAUGGAGGCUAUUGGCCUCUGGAUAAUAUCUGAAGUAGGGAGAUUUUUAUUUCACUGCAAUAUUACUUAUUUGGCAUUUAUUAAACAGUUUAAUGACAGUGACAUUUAAAAAAAUUCAUAUUCAGCAUUUUUAUUCCGUGUUUUUGUUUUUUUUUUUUUUUCAAAAGUAGCCAGGAAACCAGGCUAUGAAAGAGCCAUCAUCGUCUGUGACGAAAGAGCUGAGAGUCUGAUCCAUCACAGUUCAUGCCUGGGAAAUAAUCUAGCGACUGCUGAGGCCGGCAAGGAGCUGAGGCCAAACCAGACGAAUGCCAGAGAACAUGCUAAUCUGAAAGGAAGUCCCACACAGCGACACACACACACACACGCACACACACACACACACACCACGGCACACAAGCACACACGCGAGGCUCUGAUGACGCUUCAAGGAGGAAAAGCAAACUUUCCGACUUCAUUUGGCUACACAGCCCUUCAGGGGAGCGAAUUACAGUAAAUCUAAAAGUAAGCCCUGGUGUGCUUUUUCCUUACAUGCAUAAAAGCCUUCUCUUUUCUACCUGCCUAGGGAACAAUAUAAUCCAACAGGCACAUCUUGCCUAAUUUUGUUUGUAGGACCCAGAGACACUCAGGGCAGAAGGAGUUCCCCAGAUUGUAGCUUUUUGCUUAAAGAUCAAACUCAAGGAAAGUUAUUUUUAUACCUCGUGGGUUCUUUUUUUAAAAUUCUUCUCCUCCUUCCAACUGCCUGGUAUUUAUCUUCACAAUUAGGGGGUUUGUCUUGUUAAACAAAGUAUCUGUUUUUCUUUCCUUGAUUAUAAAAGAUAGACACGUUCACUGGAGAAAAUUAGAAACCAUGAAAAAAGGCAGAAAAAAAUGCUAGCUGCCAUUCAAAGCUAGUGAUGGUUAGUGCUUCCAUGCGUCCUCUUCUAGUCUCCUUUUCUGGGUUUCUUUUAAAUUGUGAAGUCUUUACCGUGCAUUUUCGCUGGUGUCCCCCCGCACGCGCUGUGGAAUACUUCCAAUAUGGAGCAGAGUGUACUGACUCAUCAUAGAGCACCGCCCAUCCCAUCGUGUCCUGCCCCGUGCUCCUUGUCGGUCGCUUAUCAAUCACUCCUUUGCAUUUCUGCAUUCUUCCC